UUUGGGAGUGCUCGAAAGAGAGCCAGAACACAGGUGCUGCAUGGCCGUCGUCAGCUCGUGUCGUGAGAUGUUGGGUUAAGUCCCGCAACGAGCGCAACCCUUGUCAUUAGUUGCUACGAAAGGGCACUCUAAUGAGACUGCCGGUGACAAACCGGAGGAAGGUGGGGAUGACGUCAGGUCAUCAUGGCCCUUAUGGGUAGGGCUACACACGUCAUACAAUGGCCGGGACAGAGGGCUGCCAACCCGCGAGGGGGAGCUAAUCCCAGAAACCCGGUCGUAGUCCGGAUCGUAGUCUGCAACUCGACUGCGUGAAGUCGGAAUCGCUAGUAAUCGCGGAUCAGCUUGCCGCGGUGAAUACGUUCCCGGGUCUUGUACACACCGCCCGUCACACCAUGGGAGCGGGUUCUGCCAGAAGUAGUUAGCCUAAC
rnacentral:rRNA from 1 species